AGAGAGAGAGAGAGAGAGAGCCAUGGAAUUUCCCCCCGCCUCGUCUCAUCGUGCCCCCACCACCGUCCGGCGAAACCCUCCCCGACGGGCAAAGCAAACACCUCUCGCUGCCGCUCCGGAUCCCUCCUCCUUAUCAUCCGCCGUCGACGGCAUCACCCCCUUCCCUCUCGACGAAAUCCUCCAGCCCGAUCCGCCCCAAAUCCCUCCUCCCGUCCCCAAAUCCCCCGAACCCCAAUCUGCCGAUUCCUCCGAGAACCUCAAGGUAUUCCUCCGGAUUCGACCCCUCGAGAUCCGGCCCAGGCCCAGCCGGAACCCCUGCGGCGGCAAAGCCAAGCCUCGAGGGAAAUGCGCCUCGCCUAAGGGCGGAAAGAACAAGAACAAGAGCUCUUGUUUGGCAGUGAAUGAUUCGCACUCGGUCACGCUAUCGGCCCAGCCCUCGCUGCUAGACUUGAAGCGCACCAAAAGCGAGGUGUAUGAUGGCUUUUCCUUUGUCUUUCCGCAGGAUUCUCUUCAGCAAGAAGUUUAUGACAAGGUGAUGAAUCCUUUAGUGUUGGAUUUUAUGGGAGGAAAAAAUGCUCUUUUGGUUGCAAUGGGCCCCACUGGUUCUGGAAAGACUCACACGAUGUUUGGGUGUCCAAGAGAUCCGGGUAUGUUGCCUCUCGCAUUACGACAGAUUUUUAGUCAUGCAACUGGAAGUGGGGAUCCUUAUUCAUCAAGUUCAUAUUACUUAUCAAUGUUUGAAAUAUAUUCUGAACGAGGGAAAGGAGAGAGAAUCCUUGAUUUAUCUCCAAAUGGAAUUGAUUUGUCUCUCCAACAAUCAACCAUUAAGGGUCUUCAAGAGGUUAUGAUUUCUAAUCUUGCAGAAGCAGAGAGUCUAGUGACAUGUGGAAUGUUGAAACGAGCUACUGCUGCAACAAAUUCAAACUAUCAAUCAAGCCGAUCUCAAUGCAUCAUAAACAUUCGUGCUGCUCGUAAAAGUGUGGAUGAUGAACAGCAUUUUCCCCCAAAUAAUGCUGUUCUUACCAUAGCAGACCUUGCUGGAGCAGAAAGAGAAAGAAAAACAGGGAAUCAGGGUGCUCGAUUGUUAGAGAGCAACUUCAUCAACAACACAUCGAUGGUUUUUGGUCUGUGUUUAAGAUCCUUGCUGGAACACCAAAAAAAUCCAAAGAAGCCAUUGCACAAGCAUUUCAAGAACUCGCUGUUGACUAGGUAUUUGAAAGAUUAUUUGGAAGGCAAGAAGCACAUGACUCUGAUUUUAACUGUAAAACCGGGGGAGGAAGAUUAUGCAGAUACGUCCUUCUUACUAAGACAGGCAUCUCCUUACAUGAAAAUCAAGUUUAAUAAUCUUGAAGAACUUACAAACCUGCAUAGUCAGAAAAGAACUACAACAUCAUUGAUUAGAAUGGAUCACUAUAAGCGAAUGAAGUUCGACAACUCAGAAACUUCAUUGGUUGACGUAGGAAAAGUUGAUACGGAUGCAAAUGACGAGAAUCAGAUGUCUAAAAAAGAGGUUAACUCCCAGAAACUUCAAGAGUCUGAAAUACCUCAAGUUUUAAAUAUUUCUCCAAAAUCUCGUGGAGGAGUGCAUGUGGGAGUGCAAUGUAAUGAAGAAGUGCAUGUUGAGUUGCAAAAAAUAAAGAGAAAUGAAGAAGUCAUGAGGAAUUUUGCCAAGGCUUUAUGGAAUGUUCUAAAGCAGUAUAAGCAAAAGCUUGAGGAUUCAGAGAGGGAAGUUGGAAAUAUGAAGGAGGCCCUUAGGAAGGAGAUGGCGAAGGUCAUGGAACUGAAUAAAGAGUUAAAGGAAUUAAGGUCCUGUUGUUCAUUCCAUAAACAUCCUUCCCCAGAAGAAAUUUUCAGUUCAGAAGUGGAUGCUUCAUAUGAAUAUUGUGCAGCUGGCCCAUCCAAAUCUUUAUCAAUCACUGAUGACUUCACCAACUUCGAUGCAUCUCUUGAUGAUGAUACUACUCCUGAGAUAGGAGAUCAGCUAUGCAUAGGCAUGCCAGCAAUGGUACUUGCCCAUGAGGAUUUUACAGGAUUGCCAGAUUUUGGUCUUGAAACGGACUCAUCUAACUCAAACCAGUCAGAAACUGCUAAGAGAGAUUCAUCUUCCCCAAUUAGCUUCUCAGUAGUUGAUGACAGAACCAUUUGUUCUUCACCAAAGGAGAUGCCUACGCAACAACAGGAAGAUAAAAAGAUGCGAACUUCAGAUACUGCAGAAUUAAGCAUCUCUCCAGGAGACAUUAAAAAAUUGAGCUAUGAGAAGGACAAAGGCUUCCAAGAGAAGGAUUAUAGAACUGGUGAUAAAGAACAGCUAAAGAAUAUUGAUGUCAAGGAGAUUUCAUCCCCGGAAAGUUCAGCAGAUGGUGCAUAUGCGGACCCUUUGGUUAACUCUAAACAAACAUACCUGACUGUAAGACAUGUCAAAAUCACUUUGUCUUCGUCAAAUGUGCAGAAGGCAUUGGUUGAGGAAAAGAAUGCAUGUUCAUCUCAAGUAAAAUAUUCUGAUAUUGUGUGUUCAAGCUUGUCCGUAAAUAAAGAUGCAAAGACACAGGCUCAUCAGCUUUUAUAUCACAGGCCUGAAAACUUCCAAGGACAAAAACAUGACCAUGAAGACCUGCAAGGGAAAGAAGAUAGGCCUACCGAAUUAUCAUGCAAACCAGGUCCAGAAGAGAUGCAUUCAUCUCCCGAGAUCCCUCCUCAGAUUCAUGAACCAAUAAAAGAGGGCAAAGACAUAUUGCCUUCAGUGAGUCAACAGUUACAGGAAUCAGAUGUACAACCUGUUAUAGACAUGAAAACAAGCAGCAAAUGCCAGCUCACCAAAAAUCCGAAAGAAGUAAAACGUGACUCUAUUUCAAAACCUAAGGUUGCAGAGAAGCCUAAAAGGAGGUUGAUGCCUGCAUCAGCCAUGCUACUGAGAGAAUUUGCUGGUCUUGACAUGGAAAUCGAUAAGCCAAAGGAGAGUAGAGGUAGGCUAAAUGCAGAUGAAAAAAUGAGGUCUGAUGGUAGCAUUUCACUUUUUCAUCUGUUACAAAGCAACCUUCAGCAUUGACAUCAAGAAAAAAAAAUUGGGACCUUGGAUUUUGCUUCAUCACCGCUGUCAAGACCUGAAGUAUGUUGGGCAGUCAGGUUGUCUCAGAUCGGAUUUGUUUAGCCCUGAUUAGCUUGUCUUUACACGAGGAUCAUCUUCUAAAGCAGAAUAAUAGUAGUCUGAAGCAAUAACUGGGGCCUAACAGGAACUCAGUGAGUAUAAAAUCUCGAUACUGUAAAACGUCUGAAGGCCAGGGAAGUUAUCUUUGCAACAUCCAGGAAUUUUGGACAAAACGGGAAGGUACGGAAUCGACCCACGCUCAUCAUCUGUAUGGGGUGACAGUUGAACAUAAACAAGCCCAACUUCCUAGGCUUUCCGAUGGUCCGACGUUAAGAAACCAUACAAUUGGAGCGGAGCAUUGCGACCCAGGCGCUCUGAACAAUCACUUGAGGCUGCAUCGCUAUUGGGUCCAGAGAGGAGCCUGUGCAAGUAAAAUGUACCACAUCUGUUCUAAUAUUAUAGUUGAAGUAUGUCGCU